AACGAACGCUGGCGGCAGGCUUAACACAUGCAAGUCGAGCGGCAUCUUCGGGUGCAGCGGCGGACGGGUGAGUAACGCGUGGGAACGUGCCUUUCGCUGCGGAAUAGCAUCGGGAAACUGGUGGUAAUACCGCAUACGCCUCUCAGGAGGGAAAGAUUUAUCGGCGAGAGAUCGGCCCGCGUUGGAUUAGGUAGUUGGUGGGGUAACGGCAUACCAAGCCGACGAUCCAUAGCUGGUUUGAGAGGAUGACCAGCCACACUGGGACUGAGACACGGCCCAGACUCCUACGGGAGGCAGCAGUGGGGAAUCUUAGACAAUGGGGGCAACCCUGAUCUAGCCAUGCCGCGUGAGUGACGAAGGCCUUAGGGUCGUAAAGCUCUUUCGCCGGGGAAGAUAAUGACGGUACCCGGCAAAGAAACCCCGGCUAACUCCGUGCCAGCCGCCGCAGUAACAC
rnacentral:rRNA from 1 species